rnacentral:rRNA from 1 species
ACUUGUUACAUGGCACCUGAUACUUUAUUACGAUUUCUAAGUGGCGGACGGGUGAGUACACGUUGGAACCUGCCCCAAAGUGAGGAAUAAGCCACCGAAAGGUGGUCUAAUACUUCAUAAUAUCCAUCUCGUAUGAAUUAAAGCUUUAUGCGCUUUGGGAGGGGCCUGCGUAACAUUAGCUAGUUGGUGAGGUAAAAGCUCACCAAGGCUUCGAUGUUUAACUGGUUUGAGAGGAUGACCAGUCACACUGGGACUGAGAUACGGCCCAGACUCCUACGGGAGGCAGCAGUAAGGAAUCUUCCACAAUGGGGCAACCCUGAUGGAGCAAUACCGCGUGCAGGAUGAAGCGUUUCGGCGUGUAAACUGCUUUUAUCACCGAAGAUUAUGACUGUAGGUGAAGAAUAAGGACCGGCUAACUACGUG